AGGCUGGGAGUGGGGACGGAAGA
rnacentral:miRNA from 1 species